GACGAACGCUGGCGGCGUGCUUAACACAUGCAAGUCGAACGGAAAGGCCCUGCUUUUGUGGGGUGCUCGAGUGGCCAACGGGUGAGUAACACGUGAGUAACCUGCCCUUGACUUUGGGAUAACUUCAGGAAACUGGGGCUAAUACCGGAUAGGAGCUCCUGCUGCAUGGUGGGGGUUGGAAAGUUUCGGCGGUUGGGGAUGGACUCGCGGCUUAUCAGCUUGUUGGUGGGGUAGUGGCUUACCAAGGCUUUGACGGGUAGCCGGCCUGAGAGGGUGACCGGCCACCUGGGGACUGAGAUACGGCCCAGACUCCUACGGGAGGCAGAAGUGGGGAAUAUUGCACAAUGGGAGGAAGCCUGAUGCAGCAACGCCGCGUGCGGGAUGACGGCCUUCGGGUUGUAAACCGCUUUCGCCUGUGACGAAGCGUGAGUGACGGUAAUGGGUAAAGAAGCACCGGCUAACUACGUG
rnacentral:rRNA from 1 species